rnacentral:rRNA from 1 species
AUUGAACGCUGGCGGCAUGCCUUACACAUGCAAGUCGAACGUGAAAGCGGGGCAACCCGCAAGUAGAGUGGCGGACGGGUGAGUAAUACAUCGGAACGUGUCCAGUAAUGGGGGAUAACCUAGCGAAAGUUAGGCUAAUACCGCAUACGAUCUGCGGAUGAAAGCGGGGGAUGCGGCACUAAAGGCUUUUGGCGAAGGUGGCCAAAGGUGAGUCAAGAGCUUUUAGUGCNGCACCUCGCGUUAUUGGAGCGGCUGAUGUCUGAUUAGCUAGUUGGUGAGGUAAAGGCUUACCAAGGCGACGAUCAGUAGCUGGUCUGAGAGGACGGCCAGCCACACUGGGACUGAGACACGGCCCAGACUCCUACGGAGGCAGCAGUGGGGAAUUUUGGACAAGUGGGGGCAACCCUGAUCCAGCCAUGUCGCGUGAGUGAAGAAGG